CCAGCCCGCUCAGAAACUUAAAGGAAUUGACGGGGGCCCGCACAAGCGGUGGAGUAUGUGGUUUAAUUCGAUGCAACGCGAAGAACCUUACCUGGUCUUGACAUCCCGGAGACCCUUAGGAAACUAGGGGGUGCUUCCAUCUGGAAGAAUCUGGAGACAGGUGCUGCAUGGCUGUCGUCAGCUCGUGUCGUGAGAUGUUGGGUUAAGUCCCGCAACGAGCGCAACCCUUGCCUUUAGUUGCCAGCAGUUCGGCUGGGCACUCUAAAGGGACUGCCGGUGUUAAACCGGAGGAAGGUGGGGAUGACGUCAAGUCCUCAUGGCCUUUAUGACCAGGGCUACACACGUACUACAAUGGCCGAUACAAAGGGCAGCGACACUGCGAGGUGAAGCCAAUCCCGUAAAAUCGGUCUCAGUCCGGAUUGGAGUCUGCAACUCGACUCCAUGAAGUUGGAAUCGCUAGUAAUCGUGGAUCAGCAUGCCACGGUGAAUACGUUCCCGGGCCUU
rnacentral:rRNA from 1 species